CUUGAAUCUACCACCCAGUUUGCUGUGUGAUACAUGAAAACUGGGGUUCCAGGAGGAGUAUGUUUGAAUGGAAUCAGGUUAGAGAUGAGUCUGAAAAGAAGAGUUGCCUGGGAACGAAAGCUGUUGCUGGAAAAUGUUUAUGAGGACGUGUUAACGCAUUGAAUAGGUACAACUGGAAAAGCUGAAAUAAAGAAAAUGAGUAUUGUUAUUGUUCCAUCAUCCAGUUUAACUUCUUGUCCCCAGAUUUCUUGUAAAACCUGGAUAAUAUUAAAGAAUUCACUAAAACAGCAGGAAGGAGAAUUGCUCACUGAUAAUGAGCACUCCCAUGUUACACUUCCUGGGCAAGGCACACACCUGGACAAAGGCAACCACCUUCAUGGAAAUGGUCAGAGAAGUGAAUAAAGAUGCCUACUGGCAGCGACAGUAAGAAAGAUUUCUCCCUGAAUAAAACAAAAGUGGAGGUGAGGACAUUAACUGAGCAAGAAACCGAGCUAAGCGGAUCUCCACAAGCUUCACAUCCGAAGCAGAGGCCAGCAGUGCUGCUGCACUAUGUGGGCAGGAAGGAGACAGGGAGACGUUUCCCGGCAUGGAGAGAACAAUUCCAGUCCUUUCUCAGGCAAUUUUUUAAGUAUUAGCAACCAUGGUAACUGAAUAGAAAUGUAACCCGUGUGCUGUGCAUUCAGCUUGACACAAUUAUCUCUGCAGAACAGUCACGUUAAAAAUAAACAUGGCCUGCACCAGA